AAAUGAGUAGUUAUCUCCCUUGUCCUUUACCCCUCAACCUGGUUUUAUCUCCUCAGAGAGUCCUGUUUCCUUCCUAGUUUGCCAUCCUAGCCUCUGUUCAGCUGCUGCAGCCACUGCCCUAUGUCCUUAUACUUUCUGUUCUGUCACUGAGCCUGUGAUAUGGUACCUUUAUGAACUGGCCUCUCCAUUCUUGGAGUACCUACUUGUCACCAUACAGACACAUGUUGUUUUACUAUAACGACCCUUGCCCCAUGAUGUCUUCUUCUCAGGGCAUUUUCAUUUUUGCCCUGUGUCUAAAUUUUAUUCCAUACACCAUUGGUGUCCCUCACACAAUGCUAUCCUCCUCCUCAAAGAGAAUGACUUCCCUUCUGUAAGAAACCAGUAAAUUAGGUUUCAGAGUUUUACAGAUUUUCUCCCUGCUGUAUCAAAGUUGCAAAGUAAACUAACAUACAAGAAUGGAGGUGCCUAUUGUAUAAUGUCCUGAGAAAAGAGGCCAUCUGCCAGAAAGAGGGUGCAUCUCUCACCUGUCUACUACCCUUCGGCCAUUGCUUUGUAAAAUGCCAUGGACCCUCCUGGCAACUCACUCCCCAGGCUUUGAAAGUGGCCCUAGUUUAGAACAGAAAGUAGUUGUUUGGUCCAUGGCACCCAUGGCCUCUGGCAGCAAGUUGGAUAGUGCAAUCAAACAGAGAAAGCUCUUCUGGAUGGAUGCAGCGCCAGGCCACCGAUCUAAGACAUCAAGAGAAUACUGACCCAGGAGCUGGAGAGGUGGCUUGACAGUUAAAAACACUCGCUGCUCUUACAGAAGAUCUAAGUUCAAGUCCCAGCACCUACGUGGUGGCUCACAGCCAUCUGUAUGGGAUUGGUUCCCUCUUUUGGUGUUCUUGGAGACAGAGCACUCAUAUGCAUAAAUAGGUGAGUAAACAAAUCUUAGAGAGGUGGGUGAGGAAGAAUGCUGUCCCAAGUUCAGCUCCCAUCAUGGUCUUCAUGGCUGAGCAGUCUUUGUCACCACUGACAACUAUCCCCAGGUCACUAUUUUUGUCUUGUUCACCUGGUGUUAUACAAAGUCAGUGAUUUGCUUGUGGAGGCUAGUGUUAAAUUAUCUUUCAAUCACUUUUGGUAAAUCUUUCAAUAACUGUGAAAUGUCGCCACCUCAGAGGCAUUUGACAGAACAAAAGCCAACUAAAUGAGAAAAUAAUUGAGCAUGAGAAAUGUUGGAUAUAUAGUGGUUAGAUUCCAUUUUUAUUGUAUAAACUGAAUUAAAAGUCACGGGCCAAAGACAACAAUCUUUAUAUGGAAAUCAAGAAGAAACUGAAGGCAAUUAACUAGAUAAUUUAGCUUAAAGAUACUAGAUGUUAGAGUAAUCC
rnacentral:lncRNA from 1 species